rnacentral:miRNA from 1 species
UACUUUCUUUCCUGUCUUUCU